rnacentral:rRNA from 1 species
CAGCACCUCAAGUGGUCAGGAUGAUUAUUGGGCCUAAAGCAUCCGUAGCCGGCUCUGUAAGUUUUCGGUUAAAUCUGUACGCUCAACGUACAGGCUGCCGGGAAUACUGCAGAGCUAGGGAGUGGGAGAGGUAGACGGUACUCGGUAGGAAGGGGUAAAAUCCUUUGAUCUAUUGAUGACCACCUGUGGCGAAGGCGGUCUACCAGAACACGUCCGACGGCGAGGGAUGAAAGCUGGGGGAGCAAACCGGAUUAGAUACCCGAGUAGUCC